UGGGGAAUUUUCCACAAUGGGCGAAAGCCUGAUGGAGCAACGCCGCGUGUGUGAUGAAGGUCUUCGGAUCGUAAAGCACUUUCGACCGGGACGAAAACCUAGUGGCUAACAUCUACUAGACUGACGGUACCGGGAGAAGAAGCACCGGCUAACUCUGUGCCAGCAGCCGCGGUAAUACAGAGGGUGCAAGCGUUGUUCGGAAUUAUUGGGCGUAAAGCGCGUGUAGGCUGCUUGUUAAGUCAGAUGUGAAAUCCCUCGGCUUAACCGAGGAAGUGCGUCUGAAACUGGCGAGCUUGAGUACCGGAGAGGAUGGCGGAAUUCUGCAAGUAGAGGUGAAAUUCGUAGAUAUGCAGAGGAACACCGGUGGCGAAGGCGGCCAUCUGGACGGUAACUGACGCUGAGACGCGAAAGCGUGGGGAGCAAACAGGAUUAGAUACCCACGUAGUCCCUGAGCGGGCUGGCAAGGCGCAU
rnacentral:rRNA from 1 species